UAGUGUGUAUAUAUUCGCCUAAUCAAAACAAAUGAAAAAAAAAAGGUUCGAAAAAUGUGAAAGGAAAAUGUUUGUUUAACGUUGAAAGCAGUGAAAAUAUCGGACAAAUCGAGACACUAACAUUGCCGCUAUUAAAAUGGCGAAGUACCCCUCUUUCCAAAACUAUGCAGUUAUCAACAAACGGUUUUCUGCAGAUCCGGAUGAUGACCUCUUCGAAUAAACACUGUCCCCCGCUUCGAUUACCAGUAUUUUCAGUUCGUUGCGGAACAGCUAAGGUAUUCCCGGGAAAAGUGGAUGCUGUUGAAUCAGUCCGGUGGAUGUCAAGGAUUCAACCGAUUCGAAAUGGAACAACGGCCUCGAAAUGGAAGUGAUCAUUCCGGUUCCAAUACAUCACAUACUUGACCUGUUCUUUCCGGAGCAGUACAUCUGUGUCUGGACAUAAUAGCAGCAGAUAUUAAGACAGCGAAUUGAUCGAUCCGGAUAACGUGUUUUGGUUUUCGAACUACCUUGUGAUCGACUAAACGGAACACAGGACAGAAGAGGACUUCCAAUAAUUGAAUAAGGAGUUAUGCCGAGAAGGGGUUUUGUGAUUUCUUACGCGCAAUAUCUUUGUUUUCAUUCAAAAAAAAAAAAACCAUCUUUGGGGGGGGGUCAGCCUUCAAGCGAAAAAGUAGUAUUAAUGUCGAUAAAAAAAAACAAGUAGGAAUUAUAAUUAUUGAUAUCGCGCCCAAAGAAUGCUUUGAAGUGUUACCGUGAUGUGCUCUAGAAAAUACAUUCAUUUAUCCACAUAUAUUUUAUAUAUUACAAUAAGUUGGUACGGAGUAUAAGAAUGCUUAUCAGCAUACGAGUCAGUUUAGGAACUGUUUUUGGAAGUACGCAGGUUUUAUAAAUACAGAACCGAGCACAGAUAAAGUAUUUAAUCCAUGAAAAAAGCUUAUUCUCUCAUAUAGACGUCGAGAGAAAAAAAAAAGACAAUUGUUUCCUCUAAUAUUAAUGUUU